rnacentral:rRNA from 1 species
GAUGAACGCUGGCGGCGUGCCUAAUACAUGCAAGUCGAGCGAACAGACGAGGAGCUUGCUCCUCUGACGUUAGCGGCGGACGGGUGAGUAACACGUGGAUAACCUACCUAUAAGACUGGGAUAACUUCGGGAAACCGGAGCUAAUACCGGAUAAUAUAUUGAACCGCAUGGUUCAAUAGUGAAAGACGGUUUUGCUGUCACUUAUAGAUGGAUCCGCGCCGCAUUAGCUAGUUGGUAAGGUAACGGCUUACCAAGGCAACGAUGCGUAGCCGACCUGAGAGGGGUGACGGGAAACACGAAAGAGGAAACAGGACCAAGCCACAGAGGGGGGGAGCAAAGAGGAAUACUCCAGAAAGGGGAAAAGCCGAGAGGAACAACGCCGGGGGGAUGAAUAAAGUUUUAGGAAAAUAAAAACUUUUUUAUGGGAGAAAAAAAAAUGUGAAAGUAAUAAGGCAUGUCUGAGGGUCCCCAAACAAAAAGACCGGGAAAAGGUAGGUC